rnacentral:rRNA from 1 species
AGCGAACGCUGGCGGCAGGCCUAACACAUGCAAGUCGAACGGAUCCUUCGGGAUUAGUGGCGGACGGGUGAGGAACACGUGGGAACGUGCCCUUUGGUUCGGAACAACUCAGGGAAACUUGAGCUAAUACCGGAUGUGCCCUUCGGGGGAAAGAUUUAUUGCCAUUGGAGCGGACCGCGUCUGAUUAGCUCGUUGGUGAGGUAACGGCCAACCAAGGCGACGGUCAGUAGCUGGUCUGAGAGGAUGAUCAGCCACACUGGGACUGAGACACGGCCCAGACUCCUACGGGUAGCAGCAGUAGGGUAUCUUGCGCAAUGGGCGAAAGCCUGACGCGGCCAUGCCGCGUUAAUGUUGAUGGUGUUAGGAUUGUAAUGUUCUUUCAGCGGGGACGAUAAUGACGGUACCCUCAGAAGAAGCCCCGGCUAACUUCGUG